GGAGGGGGCAAGCGUUACUCGGAAUUAUUGGGCGUAAAGGGCGCGUAGGCGGUCGUGUGCGUCGGAGGUGAAAUCCCCGGGCUUAACCCGGGAGCUGCCUCCGAUACGGCAUGGCUUGAGUCCGGGAGAGGGGAGCAGAAUUCCCAGUGUAGCGGUGAAAUGCGUAGAUAUUGGGAGGAAUACUGGUGGCGAAGGCGGCUCCCUGGACCGGUACUGACGCUGAGGCGCGAAAGCGUGGGUAGCAAACAGGAUUAGAUACCCUGGUAGUCCACGCCGUAAACGAUGGGUGCUUGGUGUCGGGGGUAUCGACCCCUCCGGUGCCGAAGCUAACGCAUUAAGCACCCCGCCUGGGGAGUACGGUCGCAAGGCUG
rnacentral:rRNA from 1 species